CUCUCUGAAGGUGGAUCCUCCACACCAGAAUGCAGGUUGUUUUAUUUUUUUUAAGUAUGAUUUCUCUCUUACGUGGACAUCUAAACAGGAACAACUGAUUCCUUUUUUAGAGUUCAUGAAACACUGCCAAAGGAAGCAAGGGCAAUGGGACAUCAUUUUAGGAAGGAAAGAGAACAGAAGAUAAAGCCACUCAUAUGCACAUUUGAAUGUCAUGAAAUACCAACAGCCCACAAAAAAGAAAUAUGCUACACUGAAACAUGGAAAAUAAAUACAGGAUCUCCAGAUGGGGCUUGUUCUUCCCAUCUCUGCUGAUAAGCCCUCCUGAGAAUGCUCUAAUGGAAUACGUGUUUGAGACGAGGAAGGAGCUGAACUGGCAGGGGAUUUACAACGUGAA